CCCUCCUCGCCCGGCGCCUCACUCACCAAGGGCCGCGCCGGGGUUCUGCACUGUCACUGCGGUGCGGCUCCCCGCCUUAGGAAUUCUCACACGGUUCCAGGGUUCCCGGCCCGGGGGCACCGCAGCCAUCUUGCGAGUUACCUCCUGAGAGUUGGGCAAAGAUCAGUAAGAUCCCUCUGCUGUGGCUGCCAGCAAGUCUGUGCCUGAUUUGAUGAAAUUCUGAAAAGGAAUAUCUAUUGUCACAUUAUUCUCCUUCAGUCCGGAACGGUUCCUCCUUCUUUCUCUGGCUCUGGAUCUGCAUCCCUGACAGUCUUAAAGAGGACAGACCUUUCAUUCAUGAGGACGACCCUCAACUUGGCUCAGUCAAUGUUUCCUCAGCCUCAAGCCUUGCAUUCUUGGCAGAAAGACUGAAGAAAUGAUGCUGUGCUCUUCUCAGUGCUUCAGCUAAAUAUACUUCUCAUUGUGUUGCUCCAAAUCGGACUGCCUUACCGGUUUUCAGCACUGUCCUCCUACGUGGGAAUCACCCAGGAGGUGUGGGGCAGGACAUCUGCCAUAUGAGGGUCGUAUGACCUACUCUCAGGAGAGGUGCUGUGUUUUGGAGUAGUGUGUCCUGUACCUGUCACCUUUAACAAACAAUUACUGAGCACAUACUGGGUGCCAGAUACUCUGCCAGGCUCUGAGAGGACAGAAAUGCAUAACACACAAUUCCUGCUCUCCAGGAGGCCUUUCAAGAAGAAGAGAGUAGAAAAAAUUCACACAUUGCCCCCAUCCCAAAAUGACAUCAAUCUGAAGAAAGGAAAAGAAAAAGAUGCCGAAAGUAUCUGGAAGAUUCCAUUAUUAUCAGGAUGACUCACAACAUUUAAUAAUUACUUGUUUUUGUUUUGUUUUGUAUGCCCAUGUUUUACAUGAUGUGACCUUUUGCUGCCCUGUACUAUCAUAAAUUGCAUCUUUCUGAAGGCAGUUCUCAGUAAGUUUGUGUCCAUGAGUAUGUGGUAGCACUUCAGCUUAUGGGCAUUGCCUUAAAGAAGCAACUGGAGCUGUCAACAAUCUGUUGUGAGGUCCUCAACUAGCUCAUUUGUUAAAUAGCUUGAGGACAAAUAUUCUUGGCUGGA